UACGUAGGGGCCGAGCGUUGUCCGGAGUUAUUGGGCGUAAAGCGCGCGCAGGCGGCUUCGCGCGUCCGACGUGAAAGCCCCCGGCUUAACCGGGGAGGGUCGUUGGGUACGGCGGAGCUUGAGGGCGGGAGAGGGUGGUGGAAUUCCCGGUGUAGUGGUGAAAUGCGUAGAGAUCGGGAGGAACACCUGUGGCGAAGGCGGCCACCUGGGCCGACCCUGACGCUGAGGCGCGAAGGCGUGGGGAGCAAACAGG
rnacentral:rRNA from 1 species